rnacentral:rRNA from 1 species
CUACAAGUCGAGCAGGGACGAAAGUCGGGCUUAGUGAUCCGGUGGUUCCGCAUGCAAGGGCCAUCGCUCAACGGACAAGAGCUGCCCCGGGGGUAGCAGGCUUCUCUCCCCCAGGAGUCCACAGCGACGGGGCGGUUUGGCGCGUAGAUGCCGGCUCAGCGCAGACUGGGGCUGUAGUCGGUCCCAAGGCUUGGGCUGUUCGCCCAGUAAAGCGGUACGCGAGCUGGGUUCAGAACGUCGUGGGACAGUUCGGUCCCUAUCCGUCGUGGGCGUAGGAAAUUUGAGAGGGGCUGUCCUUAGUACGAGAGGACCGGGAUGGACGAACCGCUGGUGUACCAGUUGUUCUGCCAAGGGCAUAGCUGGGUAGCUAUGUGCGGAAGGGAUAAGUGCUGAAAGCAUCUAAGCAUGAAGUCCCCCUCAAGAUGAGAUUUCCCAUAGCGUAAGCUAGUAAGAUCCCUGAAAGAUGAUCAGGUUGAUAGGUUCGAGGUGGAAGCAUGGUGACAUGUGGAGCUGACGAAUACUAAUAGAUCGAGGACUUA